AUGCCUAAGUUUAAACUUCCACACCGAGACAACUUGGAAAUUAUUGCCCUUUACAGACAGAGUUGGCCCGUUCAUGCCAUUGUUAGGAGGUUAGCUGAAAUAGGUAUAGAUGUAACCUGGGGUACGGUGAAGAAUGUCAUCAAACGAUACCAAUACGGAAAGAUUGGGUAUGAAAACUUCAAUCAUAAAGACCAAAAUCUACCGAAAUUUCAGUACAUAACAGAUCAAGACAUCAACUUUGUGAAGACAGCACUGACUGAGAAUCCAACAAGAACAGCUACCGAUAUUAAACAUAUCUUAGCAGACAAAGGCACUCACACCAGUAAGUCAACUGUGAGAAAAGUCAUUGAUGCAGCCGGAUUCACAGCUUCUAAACCCAGAUACGGUCAAAUGGUUAGAGACGUUAACAAGGAGAAACGGGUCCAAUUUGCCAGAGAGGUCAUUUCAAACGACGAUCAUUUUAACAAUGUCAUUUUUACAGACGAGUGCUCCGUGCAGUUGCAUAACAACAAGAUAGUUAUCUACCGAGAGAAAGACUCUGUAGCACCGGUUUUACCAAAACCUAAACAUCCACUGAAGGUUCAUGUGUGGGCGGGUAUCAGUCGAAAAGGUACAACACGAAUAUUAAUCUUCGAAAAUAUCAUGACUGCAGCGUUUUACAUCAACCCCAUACUGACAUCGGGUCUGAUACCUUUCAUAAACCGUGUAUAUCCUUCUAGUCAUCGUCUUCAGCAAGACAACGACCCGAAACACACAGCAAAUGCAACUAAAGCAUUCAUGACUGAACAGAAUAUCAACUGGUGGAAUGUUUGGCCUGCGGAAAGUCCAGAUUUCAACCCCAUUGAAAUGGUUUGGUCCAUGUUGAAAUCCAGAUUAAUCAAGAAAGAACCGAAAACAAAAGAAAGCCUCAUCAACGGCAUUAAUUCUUUCUGGAGAGAAGAUCUAACAAUUCCAAUCUGCAACAACUUCAUUGAUCACAUCUACUAA
rnacentral:sRNA from 1 species